AAUACACCAUGCAACUUUUACACAUAAAUACCUCUAAUUUACAACAAUUGCAAAUUAGUCCUUUUACUAAUAAAUUAGUAAACUUUAGUAUUUAACUAUAUUAUAAUUGUAAUUAAUCCAUCCGAUAAACUUCUUUUAUCGUAUCUUAAAUAUCGAUCAUGCGCGAUUUCUUAUGUGUGUGACCUAAUAGGUUCAAUUCUGUCUGGUAGUGGGAUAUGAUGUGAUCUCCAUUCACAUCAUCAUCGAAACUUUUUUUGAUGGCUCAAACUCUUUUGAUUCCACCCUUAUAGAAUAAUUAAUUAUCUAUAAUUAUUUCUAUUGGUUCUCACAAUCCACCAGUGACACCUAGCAGUAUGUAGUGGCAAUUCAGUCAGAAGUGAAUAUCGGACUGAACCUCUAGGUGCAGUUACCGUACAAUACAAUCCUUCUAUCGCAUAGUUCCAACUGAGUGGAGGUCAUUAAAUAUUCGUCAAACCCCUUCACCCG
rnacentral:lncRNA from 1 species